rnacentral:rRNA from 1 species
UACGGGGGGGGCAAGCGUUGUUCGGAAUUACUGGGCGUAAAGGGCUUGUAGGUGGCCAACUAAGUCAGACGUGAAAUCCCUCAGCUUAACUGGGGAACUGCGUCUGAUACUGGCUGGCUUGAGUUUGGGAGAGGGAUGCGGAAUUCCAGGUGUAGCGGUGAAAUGCGUAGAUAUCUGGAGGAACACCGGUGGCGAAGGCGGCAUCCUGGACCAACACUGACACUGAGGAGCGAAAGCCAGGGGAGCAAACGGG